AUUGAACGCUGGCGGCAGGCCUAACACAUGCAAGUCGAACGGUAACAGAAAGCAGCUUGCUGCUUUGCUGACGAGUGGCGGACGGGUGAGUAAUGUCUGGGAAACUGCCUGAUGGAGGGGGAUAACUACUGGAAACGGUAGCUAAUACCGCAUAACGUCGCAAGACCAAAGAGGGGGACCUUCGGGCCUCUUGCCAUCGGAUGUGCCCAGAUGGGAUUAGCUAGUAGGUGGGGUAACGGCUCACCUAGGCGACGAUCCCUAGCUGGUCUGAGAGGAUGACCAGCCACACUGGAACUGAGACACGGUCCAGACUCCUACGGGAGACAGCAGUGGGGAAUAUUGCACAAUGGGCGCAAGCCUGAUGCAGCCAUGCCGCGUGUAUGAAGAAGGCCUUCGGGUUGUAAAGUACUUUCAGCGGGGAGGAAGGGAGUAAAGUUAAUACCUUUGCUCAUUGACGUUACCCGCAGAAGAAGCACCGGCUAACUCCGUG
rnacentral:rRNA from 1 species